GCCGUUGUAGCUUAGGGGUAGAGCAGGGCAUUCGUAAUGCCAAGGUCGGGGGUUCAAUUCCCUCCAACGGCACCA
rnacentral:tRNA from 1 species